UCUGGGAUAUGGCAUAGUACAGAGAAUGUCAUUGCUCAGA
rnacentral:sRNA from 1 species